rnacentral:rRNA from 1 species
UACGGGGGGAGCAAGCGUUGUUCGGAUUUACUGGGCGUAAAGCGUGCGCAGGCGGUUCGUGAUGUCUGAUGUGAAAGCCCCGGGCUCAACCUGGGAAUUGCAUUGGAAACUAGCGGGCUGGAGUGUGGCAGAGGGGGGUGGAAUUCCACGUGUAGCAGUGAAAUGCGUAGAGAUGUGGAGGAACACCGAUGGCGAAGGCAGCCCCCUGGGCUAACACUGACGCUCAUGCACGAAAGCGUGGGGAGCAAACAGG